rnacentral:rRNA from 1 species
GACAGAGGGUGCAAACGUUGCUCGGAAUUACUGGGCGUAAAGCGCGUGUAGGCGGAUUGGUGUGUCGGAUGUGAAAUCCCCAGGCUCAACCUGGGAACUGCAUUCGAAACUGCCAGUCUCGAGUAGUGGAGAGGGAAGUGGAAUUCCUGGUGUAGAGGUGAAAUUCGUAGAUAUCAGGAGGAACACCAGUGGCGAAGGCGGCUUCCUGGACACUAACUGACGCUGAGACGCGAAAGCGUGGGGAGCAAACAGG